rnacentral:rRNA from 1 species
GCAAGUCGAGCGGACAGAUGGGAGCUUGCUCCCUGAUGUUAGCGGCGGACGGGUGAGUAACACGUGGGUAACCUGCCUGUAAGACUGGGAUAACUCCGGGAAACCGGGGCUAAUACCGGAUGCUUGUUUGAACCGCAUGGUUCAGACAUAAAAGGUGGCUUCGGCUACCACUUACAGAUGGACCCGCGGCGCAUUAGCUAGUUGGUGAGGUAACGGCUCACCAAGGCGACGAUGCGUAGCCGACCUGAGAGGGUGAUCGGCCACACUGGGACUGAGACACGGCCCAGACUCCUACGGGAGGCAGCAGUAGGGAAUCUUCCGCAAUGGACGAAAGUCUGACGGAGCAACGCCGCGUGAGUGAUGAAGGUUUUCGGAUCGUAAAGCUCUGUUGUUAGGGAAGAACAAGUACCGUUCAAAUAGGGCGGCACCUUGACGGUACCUAACCAGAAAGCCACGGCUAACUACGUGCCAGCAGCCGCGGUAAUACGUAGGUGGCAAGCGUUGUCCGGAAUUAUUGGGCGUAAAGGGCUCGCAGGCGGUUUCUUAAGUCUGAUGUGAAAGCCCCCGGCUCAACCGGGGAGGGUCAUUGGAAACUGGGGAACUUGAGUGCAGAAGAGGAGAGUGGAAUUCCACGUGUAGCGGUGAAAUGCGUAGAGAUGUGGAGGAACACCAGUGGCGAAGGCGACUCUCUGGUCUGUAACUGACGCUGAGGAGCGAAAGCGUGGGGAGCGAACAGGAUUAGAUACCCUGGUAGUCCACGCCGUAAACGAUGAGUGCUAAGUGUUAGGGGGUUUCCGCCCCUUAGUGCUGCAGCUAACGCAUUAAGCACUCCGCCUGGGGAGUACGGUCGCAAGACUGAAACUCAAAGGAUUUGACGGGGGCCCGCACAAGCCGGUGGAGCAUGUGGUUUAAUUCGAAGCAACGCGAAGAACCUUACCAGGUCUUGACAUCCUCUGACAAUCCUAGAGAUAGGACGUCCCCUUCGGGGGCAGAGUGACAGGUGGUGCAUGGGUUGUCGUCAGCUCGUGUCGUGAGAUGUUGGGUUAAGUCCCGCAACGAGCGCAACCCUUGAUCUUAGUUGCCAGCAUUCAGUUGGGCACUCUAAGGUGACUGCCGGUGACAAACCGGAGGAAGGUGGGGAUGACGUCAAAUCAUCAUGCCCCUUAUGACCUGGGCUACACACGUGCUACAAUGGACAGAACAAAGGGCAGCGAAACCGCGAGGUUAAGCCAAUCCCACAAAUCUGUUCUCAGUUCGGAUCGCAGUCUGCAACUCGACUGCGUGAAGCUGGAAUCGCUAGUAAUCGCGGAUCAGCAUGCCGCGGUGAAUACGUUCCCGGGCCUUGUACACACCGCCCGUCACACCACGAGAGUUUGUAACACCCGAAGUCGGUGAGGUAACC